rnacentral:miRNA from 1 species
AUAUAUACACACACACAUAUAUGUAUGCACACACACACACACAUAUAUAUAAAUAUACAUAUUUGUGUGUGUGUGUUUAU